UAACGUUCUCAGGGCGGGGUGCGAUUCCCCACCGGCGGUAAUUGCGCGCAAUGCGCAUAGCCCGCGAGCGCUUGCAGGCCUGCCUGCAAGGUCAGCAGACCCGGUGUGAUUCCGGGGCCGACGGUCAUAGUCCGGAUAAAGAGAGAACGGGA
rnacentral:ncRNA from 1 species